AAGCGGAGGAAAAGAAACUAACAAGGAUUCCCCUAGUAACGGCGAGUGAAGAGGGAAGAGCCCAAGAUUGAAAGCUGGCGUCUUCGGCGUCCGCAUUGUAAUCUCAAGAAGUGUUUUCCGCUUCGGACCAUGCCUAAGUCCCUUGGAAAAGGGCAUCAUAGAGGGUGAUAAUCCCGUACAUGGCAUGGAGCGCCCGAAGCUUUGUGAUACGCUUUCUAAGAGUCGAGUUGUUUGGGAAUGCAGCUCAAAAUGGGUGGUAAAUGCCAUCUAAGGCUAAAUAUUGGGGAGAGACCGAUAGCGAACAAGUACAGUGAUGGAAAGAUGAAAAGAACUUUGAAAAGAGAGUUAAACAGUACGUGAAAUUGCCAAAAGGGAAGGGUAGGAGGUCAGAGAUGCAGCCUGGGAUUCAGCCUUGCUUUUUGCUUGGUGUUUUUCCCAGGUGGCAGGCCAACGUCGGUUUUGGGCACUGGAGAAGGGUGGGAGGAAUGUGGCACCUCUCGGGGUGUGUUAUAGCCUCCUACUGGAUACAGCGACCGAGACCGAGGACAGCAGCGUACUCGCAAGAGCGGGCCUUCGGGCACCUUUACGCUUAGGGCGUUGGCAUAAUGGCCCUCUACCACCCGUCUUGAACCACGGA
rnacentral:rRNA from 1 species